GCUGGGCAUGGUGGCGGGCGCCUGUAAUCCCAGCUACUCGGGAGGCUGAGACAGGAGAAUCGCUUGAACCCGGGAGGUGGAAGUUGCUGUGAGCUGAGAUCACACCACUGCACUCCAGCCUGGGCAACAGAGUGAGAUUCUGUCUCAA
ensembl:misc_RNA Metazoa_SRP Metazoan signal recognition particle RNA